UCCUACAAAGAUUUUCAAAAGCAGCACACCUUAUUACUCUCCCUCUGAGCAAAAAAUUAAAUUCAAGUGGUUGCUCCAUGUAAACUUCCUCCUAAAAGAUCAUCAUGAAGAAAAACAUUCUUAAUUUGGAGAUGGUGCAAAGGUCCAUUGUGAGUAGCAACCAUAGAAGGAAAUAGUCGUUGGAUAAGAGUUAAUUUGACAAUAAGAGAAAGUGUAUCAUCAAUCCUAUAGAAUUGGGAUAACCUUUGGCAACAAGAUAAGUUUUUAAUUGAGCCGCAUUAUUCCAUCAGAAUUAAACUUUAUAGUAACACUCAUUUACACUAAUUUCCUUUUUGUCUAUCGAGCAUGAAAUCAAGCCUAAGUAACAUUAUCGUGGUCGUCAUCUCUUUAUUCAUUGCACUACACCACCCAAGAUGAGAUAAAUUUUUAUGAACAAAGUUAGGAUUAAAUGUGGAAUCAAGAGACAUAAUAAAAGAAUAUGGGUUGAGACAGUUAGGAAAAUGUAACACACAUAGAAAUAAGAUAAGUAUAAGUGUAUUUAUCUUUUCGAAGAGCAAUAAGAAGAUCAUCACUUUGACCCAGAUUAGAUGUCGAAGAAAAAGGUGGUGAAGGACAUGUGUCUGAAGGUUGUUGUGAAGGAUGCUUGGAGUAGACUCUAGUAAUAGGUGGGGCAAAAGGAAGAGACACAUGAAAGAAGAAGAAGUUGGAGAUGAUGUGGGAGAGGUAGUCUCAUAGAUAAAAAGAACAUCAUCAUUCCCUUGACUAUAAGGUGAUGGACUUAAAGGUGAUGGACUUAAAGGUGAUCUUCAAAGAAGUAAAAUAAAAGGAUAGAGAUACCUAUUUAGAGUAAGACAAUAACAACAUUAUCCCUUUUGAACACAUGAAUAGCUUAAGAAUAUGCAUUUUAAAGAUUUUGGAUCGAACUUGAUACGAUGAGGACGAACAUCCCGAGCAAAAUGAACACAACCAAAGAUCUUGUGAGCUAUAGAAACAACAUCAACUCAAAAAGGGCUUUGGCACAUGGAUGUGAAAGAAUAAGGUCCAGACUGUUUCAAGUAGGUGAUUGUUCUUUCUUUCAGCAACUCCAUUUUGGGACGAAGGAUGGACGAAGGAUGUCAUAAUCAUGUAAGUAACAACCAAGUACAUGGGAGAAAUAUUUACCAACAUUAUGAUUAGUGCACAAAGUUUUAAGUUAAUAAGAGAAAUAUUUACCGCCUUUUUCGAAUUUUAGCAAAAAAGCACAAAAAUAUAACCAAGUAAUAUUUAGCAAACUGACACGAAUAUAACUAAGUAAUACAAGAGUGAUCGUCAACAAAAGUAACAAAAUAACGAAAAUCUUUGAGACACGACUGGAUAAGGACCUUAAAUAUCAUAAUAACCUAACUCAAAAGGAGUGCUAACUCAUUUAUGGACUCUAGGACUAGAACUAAGAUCGAUGAUGAAAAUUUAGCAAACUAACACGAAUCACAAUUAACAAGAUGGAUGACCUAAAUAUUAAUGAACUUCAAAAGAGGUGUAACUCCAUACCAAGCCAUGACUUUCGGUAUCUAGUGGUAAAAAAUGUAAAGGCGGCCCCAUGAUUCAUGUCCUUUACCAAUAAUCUUCUUCAUCAUAUGAUCUUGAAACAAGCAAUAAAUAGGAAACUACGACCAUAGUAGUUAAGAUCACGAGUAAGUUGGUUAAUAGAAAUUAAAUUAAAAGACAAUUAAGACAAAUGUAAUACAUAGGACAAAGAAAGAGAUGGAGGGUGAGAAAUGGUGUCAAAUCCAAGAACAAAUAAGGUUGAUCCAUUUGCCAAAGUGACAGGUAGGGGAUAAGACCUAUAGAGGACAAAGGCGUAGAAAAUAAGUUAGACCUAUCAUAUAUGAGCAGUGAAACCAGAGUUUAUAACUCAUUUGGUAGAUGAUGUAAGAAGACAUUUCGUAUUACCUCUCUCAAAAUGGUGGCAAUUGCAUACAAACAUCAAAUAUUUGAUGAGUUUGUUCUUUUCCAGAUUAGUAUAGAAACUCUAAGAAUUCUAAGAGUUCCUUCACAAAAUCAUAAUGAUCUACCAAACCAACAAAUUCACUUUUAAUAGAACUCUUAAUCUAGAUGAAGUCAGCAUCAUCAUGAAGCUAAGCCUUUUUCUUACCAUCUUUUGUUGGCUCCUUAGUCACAUGAUCUCUCAUAUCUGUACUAAGUAAAUAAAAGGUUAAAUCGAGUGAUGUCAAUCAUAGUAAUUAGAUCUAUUUUAACUUGUGUUUAACUAUCACUACAUCAAGUAGGGGUUUUUCCGACGCAAGACGACAUCGACGAAAGUAAAGAAUGGCGUCAGUAAAAGUUCUUCCGACAAAAUCCUACACAUCAGGAUGAUUGUCGGGAAGUCCACUUUGGGAGACCCAUUCUCGAUGAACAAAGAUCACAGCGUUGCAAAUUUUCGUCCCACGACAACCAUUUUGUCGAUGAUGAAAUCACGUAAACAACACUCCCGACGUCAGCAUGUGAUGUCAGACAUAGGACGCUGUCGACGUAACUACAGGCAUCGGGAGACGAGUUCUUCCGAAGUUACAUUGCGAAACGUAUCCUUGAAGUGCUAAAGAAUGCGUCGGGGAACGCCACUAUUGCCGCUAUUUGCGUCGGGAGUUGUUUUAGAUAUAUAUAUAUAUUGAAUUUUUUGUUUCAAUCGUGCACUAUUCUGUUCGAUACCAAUUCGAUUUAAAUUGAAUAAAAUUUAUAAAAACUGAGCAACCAAAUUACUAAAUAAUUAUAUAAAAUACCAAAUCAAAAUUAAAUAUAUUAUAAUUAAACGUUAUAUUGUCUAACAAUUUGAAUGUUUAAAAAAAAUUAUAUAGAAAAAAAUUAACAUAAUAUGGUCGUGGACGCCACGAUUCUACAAGUCUACACCUACAAUGACACAAAAUUAAAUUUAUAUAUAUAUAUAUAUAUAUAUAUAUAUAUAUCACUAAGAAUGCAAAGUAAACAAUGGUAAAGUUAAAAAAUGCGUACUACAAGUGCGCGACUCACGAUCCUCUUUGUGUUCGAGUCAUUUUUUCAUCAUCUUCUUCAUUUCUUCCAUUUGUUGGCCCUGCAACUCGGACAUGUUUGAUCAUUAGUCGUAUAUUCCUCCUAUCAAACCCUAAACUUAAUUACUCCAUGAAUAAUUUAUGCCCAAUCCUCCCAAUUUUUUCAUGAAGCUAAGUUUAAACUACAAAGUUUACAAAGACUACUAUAACUGCAUGAUAGCCAUAAACUAACCACACAAACUACUAGCUAACAGAUUCAAAACUAAGUUUGCACUAAAGAGAAGAAGUUACCAUAAUAGCCAUACGAAAUCAACAACAAAUUUAUAAUAGUUCUAACAAACGAAACUAUUAAAAAUAAACAACAAUCAAGUUUAAACUAAAGGUUAUCAUAACUGCAAGAUAAAUAAAGCAAAUUUUCAAUUCAAUACAACCCCUCCCCUUCAAGUUUUUAAUACAAACCCUCUCUCCCCCCUCAAGUUUCAAUUCAUCAACCCUCCCCCCAAUAUAAUCUUCAUUUCACCCCAUCUCUUUAAUUUUCAAUUCACCCCUCCCUUAAAAUUUCAAUUCAACUCCCCCAAUUUUCAAUUCAACCCCUCUGCAUCAAAUUUUCAAUUAAUUCAUGAAUUCCAAAAACACUUAAAAUUCAAUUGAAUACCAAAAACUAAAUUAAAAACCAAAUUCAAAUUCAAAAUCUUAUUCUUAAAACAAAUUUAUAAUCUAAACAAAAAUAAACUAAAUCUAAACUAAACUAAAACUAAACUACUUACCGAAAUUAGUAGGAUCGGCAGAUGACGACUGAAAGGCGACGAGCGGCGACACAGGACGAAUGACAAACUCUCUUCUUCUCGGUCUCUCUC
rnacentral:lncRNA from 1 species